UCUCAUCAUAUGGAGCGCGUUAAUUGCAAACAGCCUCCGCGAAGUAAUACCUGACAGCACGCCCGCGGAGGAGACUGGUCGAAAUAGUGUUUGUGGGGAGUAAUUUUAAUACGUAGGCGCCAUGGACAGCGAAUCAUGUAUGCUGCUGGUACGGGCCAGUAGUAUCUUUGGAAGAUUUUUCCCUCUAAC
rfam:Glossina morsitans morsitans, isolate Yale, WGS project CCAG01000000 data, contig: ctg10008814